GAUUUUGGAGGGAUAUCCAAAAGUUGAUUGAGUCUUUUCCCUCUCAAAUAACCACGCCCUAGUUGACUAGAAUUCGUGACAUUCAGACAACAUUUAAAUGUUGUCUGUGUGUGGGUUUUAAAAUUUUCCAAUUUAUUUUGACUUGUGCUUUUGGACAUAGAUCCCUCGCAAUUAAGUCAUUUUCUGUCAUUCUCACUCGAUCAGCUCCCUCAGCUUGACCUAUAAUUCGCAAAACUGAAAACCUCAAAAACCAGCCUCUCUCCUUCUCACUCAGCUCCUUCAGAACUCGAUUCUCACUCUCUCCUUCGUCUUCUUGCCCACUUGAUUCUUCUUCUUAGUCUCUCCCUCUUCUUCUUAGUUUCGAUUUUAGGUUUGAUUUCGAUUAGGUUUUUCUUCUAUUUGGGGUGAUUGGAUUUUACUUUUCCUCUUAUCCUCGUCAAAAUGAGGUGUUUCAAUUACUGAAAACCCAGACCUCUCUCUCUCUCUCUGACUCUCAGCCUCCUUCACUAUCGAUGGCGGCGAAACGGCGGCAUUCAGUGACUGUUGUCUUGGUCUCUCCAUGAAUUCGAAGGCAAUCACUUAGUGACUCGUCGUCUCUCUCUCUCUCUCUCUCUCUGUCUCUCUCGCUCUCUCAAUCUCUCCUGGACGGUCGCCGGCACUAGCCCUCUCCCUCUAUCCUCGAAGGUCGACGGCACCGACCCUUUCUCCUCGAAUUAGACUGGAGUAGUGGAAGGCGAUACUGUUGGAAUCGAGAGAGCGGGAGAAGAAGUCAGUUCGCCUUUCAUUUGGAUCAAUCUUGAAAGCUUGGCUAUCGAAGGGGUAUUGUUCGGUUUUGCUGUGAGGAGGAAGAGGACCUGCGUUUUGGAUAACUGCAUUUUGAGCCAAGGAGAAGAUGAGGAACUUGGGUAUAGGGUUGUGAUCGAUACUUAGUUUUUGGGGUAUGCUUUGGAUGUGAAUGUGGAGAGGGCACAAGAAAUUCUCAUGCAUAAAAGACUAUUGCAUAUGGCCUGCCACUAGACCUGUAGUCUAAGUCCGUCUUGUGCAGUCAUCCACCACCACCUUUUGGUUGGUCUGAAGACCUUGAACUUGCUCUUGAAGCCAAGUUCAACAUGGGAAUAACAUUGAAUUCCUUUCCAAGAAAAGUUCGGCACAAGAAUGUUGUUCAAUUCAUUGGGGCAAGAGCACCUUGUAUUUUCUA